rnacentral:lncRNA from 1 species
CGAGUAGCAGCUCCAAUGGAGGAGGCGAGAUCGUUGAUCUCCACGGUGUCGUCGCUGUCAGCAUCCAUGUAGGGGAUCCUUGGUCGUGGAUCUCGACUCGCACAGCCAGCAUGGAUUCAGCUUUUGUAUGAGGAUAUUUGGGCCGUUGUCUUCCUCAAUCAUGCAAGCCAGACUUCGUCGUUGUUCCCACUCGAGGAAGCCCGACAUGUCGUCGUCUUCCUCCACAGCGGCAACAUGCUUCGACCUACAGGUCUCCCUUUUCCCUUUUCAUGUCUAUAUGUCAUAUUUUUUUCUUAACCUUUUUCUGUGUGUGUACGAUUGUACCAAUAUAAUGUAAUUAAAACAUUGUUUGUUAUGUUAGUUUUUUUCUGUCCCCUCCACUUUUUCUGUGCUACCGUUUGCAUCGACAGUGUUAGGUCCCUUGCCCCCAUUCAUACUCGGCAAAUUUAAGUACUACUAAUUAGUGUAUUAGUGAGUAGCUAUAGUUUAAUAUUUCCCAAAGACACCGAGUUUCAAUAUUUGAGCAGUAAAAAAGGUCUAUACAAAUUAAUGAUACACAGAUGCCCUGAUUAUUGGGUUGUACUAUAAAUUAAGCCACACAUAUCAGUAAGUAUAGAGUUCCCAUAUUUGGUAUUGAUAGCCGUAGUAAUAAAUGCUUGGUAAAUUUGGAUUUAGGUUUACACAAAAAGAUUAAAGUUCUGACCAUUGAAUUUCCGACCAAAUUCGAAGUGACCACCACCAUCGUUUGCUUGUGCCAAACAUCUUCAUUCACCAUAUUUGCUAAAAUAUCCCUGCAUAGCGUGAUCCCUGCUAUUGUCGCCACGGAAAGAAUUUAAGCAUGAAAAAGUGACUUACGGAUCAUUUAUGUAGUCUAAAAUUGAUGUAGUAAUAUAAAUUACCUUCAGUCUCAUGGAUGUUUUGACAUCUGCACAGAAUCAUGUUCAUAAAUCUUUUCAACAAUACUUGUCCUUUGAUAUGGAUUUUGUACAUACCUGAGCAUUGUUUCUCAAUAUUUACUCCACUCUCUAAUGUAUCACUAUCAACAAAUUCAAAUUAGUAGUCGAAAAAUUAAUUUUACCUUUUCCUUUAGAAUGUAUAGGCUAUUUCAUCUUUUUCCAUAUUUUCGAUUUAACUGUGUAAGAUAAAACUUCAUCAAAGCUAAAUAUAAUCAAUAAUUAACAGCAAAGUUCAAUUUACUUUUUCUAGAAUACGUAUUUUAUCUGGUUCACUGACAUCAUAACAAAUAGAUUUUGAUCAAAGAGAAACAUUUACCUGAAAACGGUCAAAGUAUUGUGAAUGAUGCAACAACAACAAAAUUAAUAUGAAAUCUAAUGUUGGAAGGAAAAAUAAGGGCUAGCUUGUAACAUGAGUUUUCUUUGGUAUGGUCAUCGUCGUUCUCUAGUACCUCCACCAUCUAGAACCCAGCACCCAAUAUACGUAAGUUUUUUGAAAGGUAAUUUGCCAGACAAAAUAAAACGACAACACAUACUAAUAUAGGUAGUUAAUUUACUAUGAAGACAACACAUUAAUUCUUUGUCCACACACCAAACUUCCUAGUAGUUGAAUUAUUGAACGUAUCUAACUUCCAUAUUAUUUGUACAACAUUAUGUGUGCUUUUUUCAAACAAUUUAGAAAGAUAGGUUUUCUGAUCAAGCUCUUUGUUCUACGUACAGCAACAGUCACGGCCUGCCUUCUAGUCUCGCAUGAACUCUUAAUAGUUUUUCUGGUCAAGAUUUUUGUUCUCAUGUACAGUAAGAGUGGUAAACUACUUAUACAAUGAUUCAUUUGGUUUCAAAUCGUAAGGUGCACAUAUGCUAUUUAUGCAGUUUCUGACCCAAAUCUGAUAGGAUAUAUGAGACCAUCUUAUUCUGUGAUAUUUGUUGUGCCUACUUAUACUCUAAAUUUGCAUUCUCUUGUAAAGUUCAGUACAUUUGCCUUAUAAAGGAAGGUGCCGUUCUAUCUAAAGUAUUGUCAUGAUUCAUGCUAACGCUACCCCUCCUAACUCUGAAUAUAUUUGCUUCUAUCAUACUAUAGUAUUCAUUGAUCUAUUUAAGGACCAUAUAUAUAAAUGUGCAACUUUAUUCUUUUGUAUUCUGCUCCCUUUCGCAGUAACAUGGUCUUAACUCUAAAAGCUGCUGACUUGAAGAUAUCAUUUAACCAAGCUGUGUUGAUCUAUUCGUUUGGUGCCACCACUACACUGGGAAAGAUCACCUGGCCAUGGGCAUCAUUACUUUUCAUUAUAAAUUGUAUUGCUUAAGUUGCUUCCCUUUCCCACUUUAUAUAAAAUAGGAACAAAAUGUAGUCACAUUCUGUUUCCGGCUAGUGAGCACACAUUUGUACAUGUAAAUUAAUAGAGUAAGAAUUCAUCUAUCAAACUCCUGGUAUAUACAUUCUGUAACAAAAUUAAAUUAGUAAUCAACUGAUACAAAGCGAGCAAGAUUAACUUGGGG